rnacentral:tRNA from 1 species
UGAAUUGAAACCAAGAGUCUAGGUGCUUAGCUGUUAACUAAGUUUUAGAGGGAUAGAUACCCUCCAAUUUAG